rnacentral:rRNA from 1 species
GACACGCUGGCGGCGCGCCUAACACAUGCAAGUCGAACGAGCGAGAGAGAGUUACUUUUUCGAGCGAGUGGCGAACGGGUGAGUAACGCGUGAGGAACCUGCCUCAAAGAGGGGGACAACAGUUGGAAACGACUGCUAAUACCGCAUAAGCCCACGACCCGGCAUCGGGGUAGAGGGAAAAGGAGCAAUCCGCUUUGAGAUGGCCUCGCGUCCGAUUAGCUAGUUGGUGAGGUUAAACGGCCCACCAAGGCGACGAUCGGUAGCCGGACUGAGAGGUUGAACGGCCACAUUGGGACUGAGACACGGCCCAGACUCCUACGGGAGGCAGCAGUGGGGAAUAUUGCACAAUGGGGGAAACCCUGAUGCAGCGACGCCGCGUGGAGGAAGAAGGUCUUCGGAUUGUAAACUCCUGUUGUUGAGGAAGAUAAUGACGGUACUCAACAAGGAAGUGACGGCUAACUACGUG